GUCUAGGGCCCGCGGGAGUUGGGCCUGACCCCCGGAAUCCGGAAACUUGCUAAACCGGAUCUAGUGGUCAGUUUUACGUUCGCCAGAUUUUUAUGGCUUUGACAUGUGAUACUUAAGGCGUUUGGAAAAUCCUUUUUCCAAAUGAAUGGGCCUUGGGGGGAUGCCUUUACGACAGGUAGAAAAAGUUUAUCCGAAAGGUGGUUUUUUUCAUCGUUCAGAGGUUGAGACGGAGGAGUCCGACAGGUGUAUCUCGGGUGGAAAAGGUGAGGGACUUGUAUCUCUCCCUUUGUCGAGGAGAAGGAAUUCAUCCGUUUAGACGUCUCCAGAUUCAUCCCCGAUCGGCUCAGGUAUUCCGAGGGGUUCCGGACGCUCUGGAGAAUCAUUUGACUGGAAAAAUGGGAAGUAAAUCGGCGUGAAUGAAGGGCUCCAAUGCAGUUGAGAACCGUAUCGCUGAGGAUUGGAGGGAGACCGA